rnacentral:rRNA from 1 species
GAUGAACGCUGGCGGCGUGCCUAAUACAUGCAAAUCGAGCGAACGGACGAGAAGCUUGCUUCUCUGAUGUUAACGGCGGACGGGUGAGUAACACGUGGAUAACCUACCUAUAAGACUGGGAUAACUUCGGGAAACCGGAGCUAAUACCGGAUAAUAUUUUGAACCGCAUGGUUCAAAAGUGAAAGACGGUCUUGCUGUCACUUAUAGAUGGAUCCGCGCUGCAUUAGCUAGUUGGUAAGGUAACGGCUUACCAAGGCAACGAUGCAUAGCCGACCUGAGAGGGUGAUCGGCCACACUGGAACUGAGACACGGUCCAGACUCCUACGGGAGGCAGCAGUAGGGAAUCUUCCGCAAUGGGCGAAAGCCUGACGGAGCAACGCCGCGUGAGUGAUGAAGGUCUUCGGAUCGUAAAACUCUGUUAUUAGGGAAGAACAUAUGUGUAAGUAACUGUGCACAUCUUGACGGUACCUAAUCAGAAAGCCACGGCUAACUACGUG